rnacentral:rRNA from 1 species
GAUGAACGCUGGCGGCGUGCCUAAUACAUGCAAGUCGAGCGAACAGAUGAGGAGCUUGCUCCUCUGACGUUAGCGGCGGACGGGUGAGUAACACGUGGAUAACCUACCUAUAAGACUGGGAUAACUUCGGGAAACCGGAGCUAAUACCGGAUAAUAUAUUGAACCGCAUGGUUCAAUAGUGAAAGACGGUUUUGCUGUCACUUAUAGAUGGAUCCGCGCCGCAUUAGCUAGUUGGUAAGGUAACGGCUUACCAAGGCAACGAUGCGUAGCCGACCUGAGAGGGGGAUAGGCCACACUGGAACUGAGACACGGUCCAGACCCCUACGGGAGGCAGCAGGAGGGAAUCUGCCGCAAUGGGCGAAAGCCUGACGGAGCAACGCCGCGUGAGUGAGGAAGGUCUUCGGAUCGUAAAACUCUGUGAUUAGGGAAGAACAAAUGUGUAAGUAACUAUGCACGUCUGGACGGUACCUAAUCAGAAAGCCACGGCUAACUACGU